rnacentral:rRNA from 1 species
GUGUCAGCAGCCGCGGUAAUACGUAGGGGGCGAGCGUUGUCCGGAUUUAUUGGGCGUAAAACGCUUGUAGGCGGCCACAUCGCGUCGUGCGUGAAAUCUCCCGGCUCAACUGGGAGGGGUCGUGCGAUACGGAUGGGCUCGAGGCCGGUAGGGGGACGCGGAAUUCCCGGUGUAGUGGUGGAAUGCGUAGAUAUCGGGAGGAACACCAGUGGCGCAGGCGGCGUCCUGGACCGGCACUGACGCUGAGGAGCGAAAGCGUGGGGAGCGAUCCGGAUUAGAUACCCGGGUAGUCCACGCCGUAAACGGUGCGCACUAGGUGUCGGGGGUAUCGACCCCUCCGGUGCCGCAGCUAACGCAUUAAGUGCGCUGCCUGGGGAGUACGGCCGCAAGGCUAAA